UGUUGUUGAAACCCCUAAAACCUUUGAUUUUGCUUCUUCUCUCGUGCGCCUCCAGUCUUCAGCCUAAAAGUUCUCCCCCCUAGUUCAAAUCUUUGUAGCCAUUCACAAAACAACAAUCUCUUUCAAAUUGGUCUCUUUUCCGGCCUUUUCUUAUGGAUCUACUAUAACUUCUGAUUAUGAUGCAUGAAGAAAUUGUCUUUUCAUUGAGUUUGGUAGUAAGCAAACUAUGUUUUAAUCAUAUGUAUAUAUUUUUUGAUUUAUUUAUGGUUAUUUGUGGUGUUGUAAACAAUAUGAGUGUGAUAUGUGUGUUGUAGAUUGAAACUUUGGAAUUACAAUGGCUUGGAGAUUGAAGCUUUGAUUGGAUAACAUAUAUAUAUAUAUAUAUAUGUAUAUAUAUUUAUUUUAUGUGUGUAUUGUUAAUUUGUGACAUGUUAUUUAAUAUAUUGAGUUGUAAGGAGUUUGUAUAUGAUAACUAUUUUUUGUUGUAAUAUGAUUGAACAAGUUUGGAUUUAA